UACGGGGGGGAGCAAGCGUUGUUCGGAUUUACUGGGCGUAAAGGGCGCGUAGGCGGCCAGCACAAGUCAGUUGUGAAAUCUCCGAGCUUAACUCGGAAAGGUCAACUGAUACUGUGCGGCUAGAGUGCGGAAGGGGCAACUGGAAUUCUUGGUGUAGCGGUGAAAUGCGUAGAUAUCAAGAGGAACACCUGCGGCGAAGGCGGGUUGCUGGGCUGACACUGACGCUGACAGCGCGAAAGCUAGGGGAGCGAACAGG
rnacentral:rRNA from 1 species